rnacentral:rRNA from 1 species
UGGGGAAUUUUGGACAAUGGGGGAAACCCUGAUCCAGCCAUCCCGCGUGUGCGAUGAAGGCCUUCGGGUUGUAAAGCACUUUUGGCAGGAAAGAAACGUCAUGGGUUAAUACCCCGUGAAACUGACGGUACCUGCAGAAUAAGCACCGGCUAACUACGUGCCAGCAGCCGCGGUAAUACGUAGGGUGCAAGCGUUAAUCGGAAUUACUGGGCGUAAAGCGUGCGCAGGCGGUUCGGAAAGAAAGAUGUGAAAUCCCAGAGCUCAACUUUGGAACUGCAUUUCUAACUACCGGGCUAGAGUGUGUCAGAGGGGGGUGGAAUUCCGCGUGUAGCAGUGAAAUGCGUAGAUAUGCGGAGGAACACCGAUGGCGAAGGCAGCCUCCUGGGAUAACACUGACGCUCAUGCACGAAAGCGUGGGGAGCAAACAGG